rnacentral:misc_RNA from 1 species
UGGUGGCUAGUGCUUCCCUGGCCGCCGUAGGAGUAGGAUCUGUGCGUUGCUCUCUCAGGGGUCCGGAAGCCUCCCUUAGUCCACUGGGUCUUAGGAACGCGCUGCUCUCUGGAAAAAAGCAAGGAAUAUUGAGCCGGGAAAUAGUCCCUUAAGUGUAUAAAGAUUGUGACCUGGUGACGAGCGAAUGGUGCAGUGGCGUGCCUGAUGUGUGCGUAACUUGUGCCGCAGCAAACUGUUAUCGUAGUGACAUAUGCGACCAGUGUUUGCAAGGAACCAUGAGCAUUGUCUUUCUGGAGCGACCACUGUGAUCUUACUCCCCUCUACUCGUCUCUUUCUCUGGUUGUUUUAGUGGAGUGCGAGGGGAGCGCCGCCCCCGACACGUGUCCCCCAGGCCAUGGUGCCCGAGCAAGACCCCCUCCUUGCCACGCACCCCAACAGCAUGUCCAAGGAGGCCGAGGUGCCGCCCGAGCAGGUAGAGCCAGUCGACCUCAGUGUCAAAACCAAGGACGACCAAGCAGCCGGUCCCCAGCCCAGCCCUGGCCAUGUCAAGCCAGUCUCCAGGGUGGCCGGGGCGCCAGCGACCCACGGCCACCAGCCCGGGCCUCAGGGCUCCUCCCUGCGGCUGCCAAGGUUCGGGCCUCACCCGGACCCCUCGCGACCACCCUCAGGGCCCCUGGGCUUCACCCCCGUUAGGCUCCCAGUUGAUAAGACACGACGGCAACCGAAUAAUGACCAGCGCGCCGUCAGCUUGUUGCUGACAGAGCAGGGGCCCAAGCUGUCUGCCGAGCGGCGACCCAGCGAGCAGCAGCAGCAGCAGCAGUCACCGGGCAGUGCACUUAGCGUGUCCAUCGUGGGGUCCCUCGCCGCAGCCCAAGCAGAGGCAGAGAGCGGCUCCAGCGACCGCUUACCUCGUGUGAGCGAGAGUAACGGCCACAAGCACUUCGACCAUCCGCCCUUCAAGUACUCGGAGGGCGCCUCUCCUCCUCUGUCCAUCAGGCAGGUGCCCCGCUACACCUCCAUCGCCUCGGAGACCGGUGCAGUGUCCAAGCCCUCGCAAACCCUUGCAGUGACCCUUUCCACUACACACUCUACUUCCUCCUCCUCCUCCUCCAAGUCUUUGCCGCAGAGCCUAACGGUGGAGCCGCGCUCCGUCUCCGUGACAUCCAGCUGCGGCGUGCCCAGGACCAGGUCCCCCACCCUCUCACCGGACCACAGCGGCCUAUCAGCCCUAGACCUGCCAGCCCUGCACAUGGGCUUGCCGUUGCACACCUCCAGCUUCUGCAUGAGUCCCGACCAGGUGGUGGGCGCCAGCGGCUCGCCCCUCAGACCCAGCGACCCCGCCUUCCUCCUGCACAUGUCAAGGUUCCCGGGCUCCCUCCCUCUGCCCCUCGGCCUCGACCUCACCCUCAAGUCUGAGCUGGGUAAGAGUCCCAUGGACACCCUCAACAUGAGUCUGGAGAGUUCCUUUCACAACGGCACCACCUCGCCCUUCCUCUCCCUGCAGAGGAUACGAGAGGCGUCUCUAGCCCUGUACGGGAAGAGAUCGCUGAGUGAGAGUCCUUCGCCACCUCCCCUGGCCGGCACCCGCCUCUCCUCGCCACCACAUACCUCCGCCCUUACCUCUUCUACCAUCUCCUCCUCGUCCUCUUCUUCGUCCUCUCCUUCGUCGCCCCCAGCAGGCGCCCGGGCCCCUGGUCGGCCCCCUCCGCCCUCUGCUGAUUAUCCGGAGGUCCUCAGGAGGCGGAAGGCUCACCGCUGUGAUUUUGAAGGCUGUGAAAAAGUGUACACCAAGAGUUCACACUUGAAGGCACACAAACGUACACACACAGGAGAGAAGCCUUACCAGUGCACGUGGGACGGCUGCAAGUGGAGGUUCGCACGGUCGGACGAGCUGACGCGCCACUACCGCAAACACACGGGCCAGAAGCCCUUCAAGUGCCAGCUGUGUCAGCGGUCCUUCUCGCGGUCAGACCACCUCUCGCUGCACAUGAAGCGGCACUGAGGGCGCGGCGCUGCCAGGGAUGAAGGAGACUCGGCUGACGAGGUUCCUUCCUCUCCCGCGCAGAGCAAGCCUUCUCCACCUGUGAUAACUGUGCAUUUGUUGAUGAGACGAGCGGAACAGUGGAUCGCCUCAGUCACUGGUCGCGCCGCGCGGCCACCGUCCUCCUGGCCUGGCGCACGUUGCCCCGGAGCCUUCAGAAGGUACGAGUGAAGCUUGUGUAUUCGAUCUCACGCGUUUUAAUUAUUUAAAUUUUUAUCAAGAAUGUUUGCAACAUUGAGCAGCCUCCUGUCAGUAUUACCAGCGCCGCAAGGGUCGUCCCUCCUAUCCCCCACUAAUGGCGGCUUCGGGGCUGCGGGCGGGUCAGCAGGUGACUGUGAAGCAGCGCCACCGUUCCCCUCCCACCCUGCUGUUGCUGCGACACCGAGAUGAGGAAACACUUACACUGGAGGGAAUGGCACCAGAUGAGCAUGUUUACUCUGAAUUAGAACGUGCAUUUCUAUUUCCUGGAAGCCGCGAGGCUCGGCUUCCCCGCGGUUGGCGGCACCACGCGCCGGAAGUCUGUGUGACAGGCGGGCGGCGGGGUGGCGGGGCGGCGCCGGAGCAGCAACAAUGGUGCUACUGCAGAGACGCGUCGUUGUGCAGCGUGUUCCCGAGGCCUGAGGGCCCACGGGCCUCCUAGGCCUGCAAGAUUAUAUUUUCUCUAGCGCAUUCUAUCUGGAUAUAUUUUUUUAUACUGCCAUACAUGUACAUGUUUCUUGUGGUUGUCUGUGAUCUUGUCUGGACGUAGACUAAGCGCUUCUGUUGUUAUUGUUUCGAUGUUUUGCGUGAUUGUUUGUGAUGAGUUUUUUCUUAUGUGACUCGCGGUGUUGGACGAUCGUAAGUCCAGCCUGGAGGCCAGAACCGCUCUCCUCUGUGCGUCUGUUCCUGUUCGUUCACCUCCCCACUAAGCAGCAACACUCAGCCUCACCACUGGUCAAGGAUUCUCUCUGAACACGCGUCAAGGGAGGAGCUGUCUGUCGGAGCCACGCCCUCCCUUGCUACAUAUCACCGCUCCGACACUCGCCAGAUGGUUACAAUGUGCGGCGAGUGUUGUGGUCGUCUUGUCUCCGUCCUGUAGUCGUAGUGGGAGUGAGGAGUGAUCGCCGCCUGGAGGAUUGCCGCGGCGGGUCACGGUCAGCUCGGCGCCUCGGCACCAGCAGCCUGUGCCGGGAAUUAAUCAUUUUGUCCGUGGGUUUACCUGACGACCCGCUGUGAUGAUGCAACUCCCUGCUGGGGCUGCGUGGCCACGAGCCCCGCUCCCUCACCCAUCCCCCGCAGCCCCCAGUCCUCUAGGCCUCCAUCAAGGACUAAGUCGCUCUUUCCAUCACAGUCUUCCAUUAUCACGAAGUACAAAUAACUUUUCUCUCCUUGUAAAUAAGUGGCUUUCCUUUCUCUCUCCUCCUGGGAAGAUAACUACGUAGAUCACUAUUUAAAAGUAGUUGAAGUCGACUAAGAGCAAGCCACGCGCCGCUGCCCUCCAGCCGCUAAGGACUCGCAGGGUCCUUAGCACCAGUUUAUAUUCCAGGCGGCGUUCGUCCCUCUGAGACACUGAGGUGAAGGUCACGGUGGGAAUAGUUGACCUGACCUCCACUCCAGGCCUCUUGUAGUCAUUGUGAAAGGACUGACUCGCCUGCUGCCCUCCUCCUCCUCCUCCUCCUCCUCCUCUUCUUCCUGUCACACCUGCUGUACCAACCUUGAUUCAUCUCUUUACCUGAGUGCCGUGAAAUAUCUAAAGGUGAUUCACUUUACUUUGGACUUUGUAACUGACUUUCUCUUUUCUUAGUUCUUGGGAGAAAUUAACUAAAUUAGACGCAUCCUGUACAACCCCAGAUCCCUCAACGGUCCUUCCUGACUCGCGCCUUUCGUCCCCGCCUCUCCCUCCCUCGCCGCGCCCAGGUCCUGGCUGCUGGCGGCUGGACAUUAACUUGGCGGGGAAGGGAGCGAGGUGGCAGAGCGGGGCGGGGCGGGGCGGGGCAAGCACUCCUGUCUUUGCUAGUUCUAGUGAAUUAUUUGUACAAAGACGAGCAAUGCCACAAGACUCGUUUGAGGUUAAGAAAAGAGCUAUUAAAUGCACUCCCUCCUCCCUUUAACCACUUCCCUUCCCCCUUUCCCCCUUUCCCCCCUUCCCUUUCCCCCUUCCCCUCUCGGUAACCCGUGGAGCCGCUUCGCAUUAAGUGCCAUAAACAUAAAGGGUCAUUUUGAGGUUCUUUUCCCGUUUUUUAGGCAAGACUAGGGAGUGGUGGGGCGAACCUCGAACAGACCUUUUUUUUUCUAUUCCUUUCUUCGUAGGGAGUCUUAGGAGGCUUUAAAUGCUCUCUGGAAAUCUUGAGGGCAUGAAGGAGGAGAGAAAGGAGUCCUGCGUUGCCUCUUCCUUCCCUGGCAUGUGAUGGCGAGGAAGGAGAGGAAGGAAAAGUAACGGGAAGGCGAAGGUAAUAUUUGCUGUCGAUCAUUUGGCGGUCCGUUUUCUCCUCUUAAUGUAGUCGCCCCUUUGACCUACGUUUUCUAUUCCCCGCGAGCUAUUUAUGUGUUGAUCUUAGUUGAUAUACUACCCUCGGGCUUUUGUCGUCGUGUUUUCCCUCUUGUUUUACGUGUUCCUGUGGCUGUGUGUAUGUGUGUGUGUGUGUGUGUGUGUGUGUGUGUGUGUGUGUGUGUGUGUGUGUG